rnacentral:tRNA from 1 species
GCUCAGCUAGUUCAGUUGGUAGAGCAUGAGACUCUUAAUCUCAGGGUCGUGGGUUCAAGCCCCACGUUGUGUG